rnacentral:rRNA from 1 species
CCUACGGGAGGCAGCAGUGGGGAAUCUUGGACAAUGGGGGAAACCCUGAUCCAGCGACGCCGCGUGAGUGAAGAAGUAUUUCGGUACGUAAAGCUCUAUCAGCAGGAAAGAAAAUGACGGUACCUGACUAAGAAGCCUCGGCUAACUACGUGCCAGCAGCCGCGGUCAUACGUAGGGGGCAAGCGUUAUCCGGAUUUACUGGGUGUAAAGGGAGCGUAGACGGCAGAGCAAGUUUGGAGGAAAAUGCGGGGGCCCAACCCCGGGACUACUCUGGAAACUGUGAAGCUGGAGUGCCGGAGAGGUAAGCGGAAUUCCUGGUGUAGGGGUGAAAUGCGUAGAUAUCAGAAGGAACACC